GUGGGCUACGGGGAUAUGCACCCCGUGACAAUUGGGGGGAAGAUCGUGGGGUCUCUGUGCGCCAUCGCGGGUGUGCUCACAAUCGCCCUUCCUGUGCCUGUCAUCGUCUCCAAU
rfam:Tetraodon nigroviridis chromosome 9 SCAF14991, whole genome shotgun sequence.